rnacentral:rRNA from 1 species
AACGAACGCUGGCGGCAUGCCUAACACAUGCAAGUCGAACGAGACCUUCGGGUCUAGUGGCGCACGGGUGCGUAACGCGUGGGAACCUGCCCUUAGGUUCGGAAUACCUCCCCGAAAGGGGUGCUAAUACCGGAUAAUGUCUUCGGACCAAAGAUUUAUCGCCUUUGGAUGGGCCUGCGUUGGAUUAGCUAGUUGGUAGGGUAAAAGCCUACCAAGGCGACGAUCCAUAGCUGGUCUGAGAGGAUGAUCAGCCACACUGGGACUGAGACACGGCCCAGACUCCUACGGGAGGGAGGAGAGGGGAAUAUUGGACAAUGGGCGAAAGGCUGAUCCAGCAAUGCCGCGUAAGUGAUGAAGGCCUUAGGGUUGUAAAGCUCUUUUACCCGGGAUGAUAAUGACAGUACCGGGAGAAUAAGCGCCGGCUAACUCCGUG